AGAGUUUGAUCAUGGCUCAGGAUGAACGCUGGCGGCGUGCUUAACACAUGCAAGUCGAACGAACCUUCGGGUUAGUGGCGGACGGGUGAGUAACGCGUGAGAAUCUGCCCUCAGGAGGGGGAUAACGGUUGGAAACGACCGCUAAUACCCCAUAUGCCUACUGGUGAAAUGAAUUUCGCCUGAGGAUGAGCUCGCGUCUGAUUAGCUAGUUGGUGAGGUAAUGGCUCACCAAGGCUUCGAUCAGUAGCUGGUCUGAGAGGAUGAUCAGCCACACUGGGACUGAGACACGGCCCAGACUCCUACGGGAGGCAGCAGUGGGGAAUUUUCCGCAAUGGGCGAAAGCCUGACGGAGCAACGCCGCGUGAGGGACGAAGGCCUCUGGGCUGUAAACCUCUUUUCUCAAGGAAGAAGAUAUGACGGUACUUGAGGAAUAAGCCACGGCUAAUUCCGUGCCAGCAGCCGCGGUAAUACGGGAGUGGCAAGCGUUAUCCGGAAUUAUUGGGCGUAAAGCGUCCGCAGGCGGCUUUUCAAGUCUGCUGUUAAAGCGUGGAGCUUAACUCCAUCAUGGCAGUGGAAACUGAAAGGCUUGAGUAUGGUAGGGGCAGAGGGAAUUCCCGGUGUAGCGGUGAAAUGCGUAGAUAUCGGGAAGAACACCAGUGGCGAAGGCGCUCUGCUGGGCCAUUACUGACGCUCAUGGACGAAAGCCAGGGGAGCGAAAGGGAUUAGAUACCCCUGUAGUCCUGGCCGUAAACGAUGAACACUAGGUGUCGGGGGAAUCGACCCCUUCGGUGUCGUAGCUAACGCGUUAAGUGUUCCGCCUGGGGAGUACGCACGCAAGUGUGAAACUCAAAGGAAUUGACAGGGGCCCGCACAAGCGGUGGAGUAUGUGGUUUAAUUCGAUGCAACGCGAAGAACCUUACCAGGGUUUGACAUCCUGCGAACCUCUUAGAAAUUUGAGGGUGCCUUCGGGAAUGCAGUGACAGGUGGUGCAUGGCUGUCGUCAGCUCGUGUCGUGAGAUGUUGGGUUAAGUCCCGCAACGAGCGCAACCCACGUUUUUAGUUGCCAGCAUUUAGUUGGGCACUCUAGAAAGACCGCCGGUGAUAAACCGGAGGAAGGUGUGGAUGACGUCAAGUCAUCAUGCCCCUUACACCCUGGGCUACACACGUACUACAAUGCUACGGACAAAGGGCAGCAAACUCGCGAGAGCUAGCAAAUCCCAUAAACCGUGGCUCAGUUCAGAUCGUAGGCUGCAACUCGCCUACGUGAAGUAGGAAUCGCUAGUAAUCGCAGGUCAGCAUACUGCGGUGAAUACGUUCCCGGGCCUUGUACACACCGCCCGUCACACCAUGGAAGUUGGCCAUGCCCGAAGUCGUUACUCCAACCCUUGUGGAGGAGGACGCCGAAGGUGGGGCUAAUGACUGGGGUGAAGUCAUAACAAGGUAACCGUA
rnacentral:rRNA from 1 species